GCUGGCGGUAUGCUUAACACAUGCAAGUCGAACGGUAACAGCGGAAGCUUGCUUCCGGCUGACGAGUGGCGGACGGGUGAGUAACGCGUGGGAAUCUGCCUACUAGCGGGGGAUAGCCCGGAGAAAUCCGGAUUAAUACCGCAUACGCCCUAAGGGGGAAAGCUGGGGAUCUUCGGACCUGGCACUAGUAGAUGAGCCCGCGUUGGAUUAGCUUGUUGGUAGGGUAACGGCCUACCAAGGCGACGAUCCAUAGCUGUUCUGAGAGGAAGAUCAGCCACACUGG
rnacentral:rRNA from 1 species